GCAAAUCCUUUCAGUCUUAACGGCUACUUUCUCCUUUUUUUCGUACCUGUAUCCACCCUUCUCUCCCUUCUCGGAAACCAAGCUAAGUUUCCUUACAAAUGCUUAACACAAUAGCCUUAGGGCAAGCAAGAAAGUUUGACAAUGACGUUACCUUACAAACGAGUCAUGUUCCUUCAUCCAUCCGAUCUCACUCUCUUCUCUGCAGAUUACACUCUGCUUUCCUUUUCUUUUAUCUUUUCUUUGCACAAAGCUGACUGCAGAUCAAAAAGAGUGUUAUUCCCCUAAGGGUCCAAACCCUUUCAUUCUCCUUUUGACACCAUUGGUCGGUGGGGUUUAGUUCGACUCCCCUAUCAUUUUUCCAACCCACCUUUCCAACCAGCUUCAAUCUUCCCCAUACCUGCUAGAACCCCAUAGCUCAUACAAUCUCUGUGCUCCACAUCUUCUGCUUUGCACUCUUAUUAUCUUCAUAUCUAAUACAGCAAAUUCCUUUCCUUUUUUUUUCCCCUUUUUUUUAUCUCUCUCUCUUGGGAUGGUUUCACUCUGAGUUCAGUAAGCUCAAGAAGCAGCAGAGUACAAUGAAGAUGGGUCUGGGUCUUGUUCCUCUGCUCAUUCUCUACCUCUUGUUUCCGUUUGCAGCGCAGAGAUCUCAGGCAAGGUGGGAGUAAACUAUGGUCAGCUGGGAAGUAAUCUGCCAUCACCGUCGCGUCGGUAGAGCUCAUUAAAUCCCUCAAAGCCAAGUGCGUUAAAAUCUACAACGCCAAUCCAGAAAUCCACAAUCCCUUAAGAACACAAACCUUAAGGUCUCGAUCAUGGUCCCCAACCAGCUCAUCUCCAACAUCUCCUCCAACCAAACCGUCGCUGACCAGUGGGUCCGAUCUAACGCCGUACCUCCUCGUCGGAAACAAAAUCCUCAGCUCCUAUUCCGACACCCAAAGCCGGUACGACCUCGUCCCCGCCAUGCGCAAAAUCAAGAAUUCCCUAAGAGCCCAAGGGAUCCGCACGGUUAAGGUUGGGACUCCGUCCGCCAUAGACGAGAACCAAAAACCGGGUGUGGGUACGGAGCGGAAUUUCGGGUUUCUGUACCCGAACGUGUAUGAGAUAAACCAGGAGUAUAACGGUUUGAUUUUAGAUAAAAUUUCAGAUCA